GGGCCUGUAGCUCAGUUGGUUAGAGCAGCGGACUCAUAAUCCGUUGGUCCCCAGUUCAAGUCUGGGCAGGCCCACCA
rnacentral:tRNA from 1 species